rnacentral:rRNA from 1 species
UACAUGCAAGUCGAGCGAACGGACGAGAAGCUUGCUUCUCUGAUGUUAGCGGCGGACGAGUGAGUAACACGUGGAUAACCUACCUAUAAGACUGGGAUAACUUCGGGAAACCGGAGCUAAUACCGGAUAAUAUUUUGAACCGCAUGGUUCAAAAGUGAAAGACGGUCUUGCUGUCACUUAUAGAUGGAUCCGCGCUGCAUUAGCUAGUUGGUAAGGUAACGGCUUACCAAGGCAACGAUGCAUAGCCGACCUGAGAGGGUGAUCGGCCACACUGGAACUGAGACACGGUCCAGACUCCUACGGGAGGCAGCAGUAGGGAAUCUUCCGCAAUGGGCGAAAGCCUGACGGAGCAACGCCGCGUGAGUGAUGAAGGUCUUCGGAUCGUAAAACUCUGUUAUUAGGGAAGAACAUAUGUGUAAGUAACUGUGCACAUCUUGACGGUACCUAAUCAGAAAGCCACGGCUAACUACGUGCCAGCAGCCGCGGUAAUACGUAGGUGGCAAGCGUUAUCCGGAAUUAUU